CUCCCGCCCGAAGGUUUCGGAGCAGCUCCGUCACGGAGGGCCGCUGCUGCGGGCUCCAGUGGCAGCAGGAGCGGACGACGUGGUACCUGGCGACAGACACGCGGCACAAGGCCGUUAAACUUCCACACCAAGUGGACAUGAGUUGGAGCACUUGGCCGGUCGUUUCAGAUGCUUCCCUCUCUGCAGAUGCUGCAGAAGUUCAGUCGCCCGGAUCGGAGCGAACGGUGGCUCGCCUGCACACGCGGAGAGAUCGAAGCCCAGCAGGUCUCUGUGCUGCAGCUCCUCCAUCACCAUCAUCGGGGGCGACUGCACCGACACGACACCCAGCAGCUCCGAAAACCCUGCUCCUGAAACGCCUCGUCGGUCGUCCGGACGAUGCUCCUGCAGCAAUGUGAUGCCACAUGAGCACAGAGCGGCUACUUUGACACGCCCCCUUACAAAGCCAGUUUGCUGACAUAGAGGGGGCAGGGCUUGAUCUAUACCGCCACCAGCCACCAGGGGGCGAUCCAGAUGUCUGUCACGUCGUCCAUCUUUAACAGCUUGAUGAUUAACUACAGGUGUAUGUUCUGGUGAUAGUUCCAGGCAGAGUGGGAAAACAAGUUGUCUUGUUUUCUUGCUGCUUGUGAUUUUCAACCCGACGAACCCGUUAAACCUCCGAGUGGAUCUGAAUAAACGGGUGAAUCC